AUGGCGGCCGCUAAGCCUGU
rnacentral:misc_RNA from 1 species